rnacentral:rRNA from 1 species
GGGGAAUAUUGCACAAUGGGCGCAAGCCUGAUGCAGCGACGCCGCGUGAGGGAUGACGGCCUUCGGGUUGUAAACCUCUUUCAGUGCCGACGAAGCGGAAGUGACGGUAGGCACAGAAGAAGGACCGGCCAACUACGUGCCAGCAGCCGCGGUAAUACGUAGGGUCCGAGCGUUGUCCGGAAUUACUGGGCGUAAAGAGCUCGUAGGUGGUUUGUCGCGUUGUCCGUGAAAACUCACAGCUUAACUGUGGGCGUGCGGGCGAUACGGGCAGACUAGAGUACUGCAGGGGAGACUGGAAUUCCUGGUGUAGCGGUGGAAUGCGCAGAUAUCAGGAGGAACACCGGUGGCGAAGGCGGGUCUCUGGGCAGUAACUGACGCUGAGGAGCGAAAGCGUGGGGAGCGAAC